GCCUGGCUAUCUCAGUCAGUAGAGCAUGAGACUCUUAAUCUCAGGGUCAUGGGUUCUAGCCCCAUGUUGGGCG
rnacentral:tRNA from 2 species